UGGGCAAUAUUGCACAAUGGGCGAAAGCCUGAUGCAGCGACGCCGCGUGAGUGAAGAAGUAUUUCGGUAUGUAAAGCUCUAUCAGCAGGGAAGAAAAUGACGGUACCUGACUAAGAAGCCCCGGCUAACUACGUGCCAGCAGCCGCGGUAAUACGUAGGGGGCAAGCGUUAUCCGGAUUUACUGGGUGUAAAGGGAGCGUAGACGGCGAAGCAAGUCUGAAGUGAAAACCCAGGGCUCAACCCUGGGACUGCUUUGGAAACUGUUUUGCUAGAGUGUCGGAGAGGUAAGUGGAAUUCCUAGUGUAGCGGUGAAAUGCGUAGAUAUUAGGAGGAACACCAGUGGCGAAGGCGGCUUACUGGACGAUAACUGACGUUGAGGCUCGAAAGCGUGGGGAGCAAACAGG
rnacentral:rRNA from 1 species